AUUUCACAACUAACACGGUUAAUCUGUAAAUGUUCUUAUUCCUAAUAAGGCUUAAAAUAAACUUGUGGGAGGCACACAUUAAGAUUUUGUCAUUAUUUACUGUAACUUUAAGAUUAUAUUGUUUUUUAUAUGCUUGUUCUUCAUUUCCCAUGCAUAUAAAUUUUAUCAAAGUCAGGGGUUUUUUUUGUUUGUUUGUUUUUGUUUUAUCAGAGCACUGCUCAACUCUGUCUUAUGGUGAUGAUGAAGAUUGAACUGUGGACUUUCAUUCUUUUGUGCUUAAGAGUUUUUUUUUAGCAUGAGUCAUUUCCUAUUUCUCAGGCCCCCAAACAAAUUCUGUAUACUCAGCAAGGAGAAGUGGAUGUAGAUGAAGUCACUGAUUUCAGUUCCUUCUAGAGUCUAGGGGCAUAAGCAGAUUGGGAACACACACUGGCCGAGUACCCUGUGCGACAAGCUGUGGUGAAGCAUGUGCAGUGGAGUCCACUAGCUAUAGGUCCUAUAAGCAGAUUGUGGGGAACAAAUUGGGCCAGAGGGUGGGCCAAGCCCAGCCCUAUGAAAGUGCCUAACAGUUUAUUGGGAUAAAUAGCUUACAAGGCAUUUGUUGUCACAUGUAGAAAGGGUUCUUCCCUCUCCCUUGAUAGGUGUCUGCACCCCUCACCCAUCAGCAAGUAGAGUUUUCUCAACCAUAGUGCAAUUGGUCAAUUCUAACACAUUCUCGAACACUAUUCAGGACAUCCCACAUAAGAAUGUCGGUAAUUCAGCUGGAAGUACAUCUCACAGCAGAAAUUGUGCUUUAAAAAGACAUGGAGAUGGUUUUCAUAAAAAAUGUCCUGAUUUGAAGGGCAUCAAUAACGUCAGAAAGUCUGCUUCUAACAAAGCAGUAGCAAUGAAAAAAAUACAAAAACUACAAUCAGAUCUAAAGUCUUCAUUGGCAUUCGAAGAGACUGGAACAAAUGGCCUUGGGGAUUCUAAGGAGGGUAGACAGGGGGAGAGAAAGAUAGACACCAGAAGACCUGUUUUGGAUGAUGCCCAGUUCCUACAGAGGCCUGUGGUUGUGGAUAAACCCACCAUAACCCCACCAGUAAAAGUUCCAGUCCACCUAUUUAAUGUUAUUCCAUCCAAUAAAUCUAAUAAGUCCAUUUCAGAAAAUGCAGUAUUUGCAAAGG